rnacentral:lncRNA from 1 species
AAACGAGACAAAUGUGAAAGGAAAACAAAUAUAAUGAGAACAGUAUAGUUGAUUUCUCGUUAUUUUACAGUUGUUGUGUAAGAGGCUGUUGCAGUAAACUAUCUCAAGUGCAAAUAGACCUUCAACAUGUGUAAUAUAUUGCGGUACCGGAACACAUGCCAAGUAAUGAACGUCAUAUAAGAGCAGAUGUUAAGUUUUUAAAAUAAAAAUAAAAUUGCUUUCGAGCAAUUCAAAGAGUGGAAUGCCACAGAUGAGGAGGUGUCAAUCACUUCACUCGAGACCAGUUUGAAACCAAAAGAGCUUGUGGAGUGGUAAAACUUAAACCAAAUGCUCUGACAACCAUUUUUUGUCAUCAUAAGCCACCAGUGGGAUGUAAAGCUCCUUCUGAGAGAAACCUGUUGGCCCACUAGAGAAACAAACUGAGGAUACUGAGGUUGGAGAGCCUUCAAAUGUGACCAGUGACAUCAGUCCUCCAGAGAAUCUGGACGCAACAGGAGAUGAAGUCACCACUCUGAAGAACCUAGUACAACAGCUUCGGGCUGAAAUUUUAGCUUUGAAGAGAAAACUCAACUUCUCUCAGAAAGGGGGGAGACAAGAGUGUGUUUAGAAUAAGACAACUUUCUUGCCAGCCUGCAUGGUUUAUUUGGUGCAGAUCUGUUUGCAGUAUUAACAAAGGGGACAUGUAAAGGUAGCAAAUGGUCAGUGGAAUCACUCCAGAAAGGGCUGAGAAUUAAGACUAGCUUGUGGUUGUACAUGGCAGAAAAUAAAUUUCCGUUUCCUUCAGACAGAACCCUGAGAUGUAAUUUAGACCUGGUGUGCUGAGGGAGCUAAUGAGUUUCCUGAAAGUUAAGUUUGACCUCAUGCUGCCAGAUGAAAAAUGUGCUCCUCUCCUCAUGGAUGAGGGUCGUAUCAUUCCAUCAUUGGAAUAUGAUUGGAGCAUUAGUUGUUAUACUGGGUGGUAUUACCUGAAAAUGGAAACAUACAAUAGUUUACCAUUACACAGGCCAUCAUUUUCCAGUUCUCAUGUCAAAAACAUCACUAUAAGCAUUUAGUGAAUCUGAGGCACUCGGUAUCAAUGUUCACUACGUCGUGUCAGAUACGGCAGGGCAAAAUCGAGCUGUAUGGUAAGAAUUUUGAAUUGUUGUUGGCAGGUUUUCAAAAUUAGUCAAUUUUUGCCAUUAUCCUUGUGAUAACAGGAAGCUAAUUUUCCUCAGAGAUACACCACACAUUUAGAAAAUAUGAGGAACCACUUAGUCACCGGGCAAUAAGUCUUCCUUUCACAAAAUGUUGUUGAGGAACGAUAUCUACCUUGUAAUGAGGUACAUAUAAAUCGUGUAAAACAGUUGCUUGAGAUAGACAAUGGUUUAAGUCUUAAACUGGCACCACAACUACAUGAGAGGUGUUUGAUGCCAAACCUUUAUGAUAAAAUGAAAGUUGGCUUGGCUACUGCCCUAAUUAACAGCCAGACUGCAGCAGCCAUUGAGUAUGGUGUCAGGACAGAGAAACUGCAGAAAAAUGCUUUAACCACAGCACGGUUUCUAAAGCACGUUCAUAAGUGGUUUCGCCUCAUGACAUGUAGAGCUCCAGUUAUGGCUCUGAGUCAUUCUGAUGAACAAACAUACAGUGAGGCUCUCUGUCAUCUGGAGGACACUCUGUGUUUAUUUGAAAACUUGAAAAUUGGCCUGAAGGGUGCCUGGAAACCAGUUCAGUCUUUGUAGUUUUGUCAACUGUAGGUAUUUUGGAAUUGCAGGACACAUUCAUGAAUGAGAAGAAUUUUAAAUUUCUGCUGACAAGUAGAUUUGCACAAGAUGCUUUAGGAAAUCUGUUUUCAAUGGUCUUCUUCAAAAAUCCAGUAUCAGCACCAUCAGAACUGAAAACAGCACUGAUGAUUGUUACUCUUUCUUAAUUCUUUAUUUCUACCACUGAUAAUGAAAAUUAAGACAGUAGAUUCCUGGCAGAAUUAGUGGGGUAAUUUGUAAGUGAAGAUGAGGGUAAGUGUGCUGAGGAAGUUGACGAGCCACUUGUAACAUGGCGUGUGAUGAUGAGCACCAGUCUCUCUACUAUUUAUGUUGUCACAGUGUUAGGCAAGCUAUGAAGCGCCUUGCACUUUGGAAAUUUUGCGAGGAGAGCCUAAUCGCAUCUAAAGAAAAUCCCUGUACGUCUGUGAACAUGCUUUUACAUCUGAAGUCCUUUACAGAUACCUCACUUAUUCAGCCACCAAGUGAGGUUUUCAGUGUAUUGCAAAUGGCAAAAGUUCAUUUGAGAAGCAACAAGAAGAAGUUACUCACAAGUGAAUUUUUGGUCUCUGAUAUAGCCACUUCUGUGUUUGCAUCAGUGGAGGAGAAAGUAGUUUUCCCAGCCAGCCACUUUAUACAGAAGAAAAUAAUACACUUUGUUGGCAACAAGAGUACAUAUGCUUCUAAAUGAGGCAAAUAAAAGAUACCAGAGUGUAGUGACACAGGGCAGUAGAAGCUUGGCCAUGAGAAAAUUAUUGCAGAAUCUGCGACUUCCAGAUUCACUUUUUACUAAAUAAUUUGGAAAAUUGACAUUGAAACUUCUUAAG